GUCCGCCCCUGCAACGGCGCGCGCUUCCGCAGAGAAGCAGUGGAGCUGGACCGGGAGUGCAGGUGAAUGCAGCUGCCGAGCCAGCAAGGCCCGUCAAAGGACCAGAUGAAAGGCUGAGCCAGAGAGAUCAGCGGUCCAAACACUGACGUACCGUAUGUUGCUGCGGCUUUUGGCUGCAGCUGUAGUGAAGGCUGAACAGAUGGAGGACGGCCUGGAAAGAAGUCACAUACUGAGGGUUUGCUGGUGGGAAAGGAACUGGAAAACUGGCCUGCAAAAGUCUACUGAUGAAAUAACGCCUCCAGGCAAG